CCUACGGGAGGCAGCAGUCGAGAAUCAUUCACAAUGGGGGAAACCCUGAUGGUGCGACGCCGCGUGGGGGAAUGAAGGCCUUCGGAUUGUAAACCCCUGUCAUGAGGGAGUAAAGUAAAAAGAUAGUACCACAAGAGGAAGAGAUGGCUAAUACUGUGCCAGCAGCCGCGGUAAUACAGAGUUCGCAAGAGUUGUUCGGAGUCAUGGGGCGUAAAGGGUGGGUAGGCUGUUUCGUAAGUCGUGUGUGAAAGGGGGGGGCUCAACGCUCGGAGUGCACAUGAUACUGUGAGACUUGAGUACGGGAGAGGUAGGCGGAAGUCGCGGUGUAGCGGUGAAAUGCUUAGAUAUCGCGAAGAACACUCAUGGCGAAGGCAGGUUCCUGGCCUUUAACUGACGCUGAUGCACGAAAGCGUGGGUAGCGAAAAGGAUUAGAUACCCCUGUAGUC
rnacentral:rRNA from 1 species